GGCCGCGGGAAUUCGAUUCAGGCCUAACACAUGCAAGUCGAACGGCAGCACGGACUUCGGUCUGGUGGCGAAAGGCGAACGGGUGAGUAAUAUAUCGGAACAUACCCAGUAGUGGGGGAUAACUAUCCGAAAGGAUAGCUAAUACCGCAUACGAUCUGUGGAUGAAAGCAGGGGAUCUUCAGACCUUGUGCUAUUGGAAUGGCCGAUAUCUGAUUAGCUAGUUGGUAGGGUAAAAGCCUACCAAGGCGACGAUCAGUAGCUGGUCUGAGAGGACGACCAGCCACACUGGAACUGAGACACGGUCCAGACUCCUACGGGAGGCAGCAGUGGGGAAUUUUGGACAAUGGGG
rnacentral:rRNA from 1 species